UACGUAGGGUGCGAGCGUUGUCCGGAAUUAUUGGGCGUAAAGGGCUCGUAGGCGGUUUGUCGCGUCGGGAGUGAAAACCCAGGGCUUAACUCUGGGCUUGCUUUCGAUACGGGCAGACUAGAGGUAUGCAGGGGGAGAACGGAAUUCCUGGUGUAGCGGUGAAAUGCGCAGAUAUCAGGAGGAACACCGGUGGCGAAGGCGGUUCUCUGGGCAUUACCUGACGCUGAGGAGCGAAAGUGUAGGGAGCGAACAGG
rnacentral:rRNA from 1 species